rnacentral:rRNA from 1 species
UGCGGAGGAUGCGAGCGUUAUCCGGAUUUAUUGGGUUUAAAGGGUGCGUAGGCGGGAUGCCAAGUCAGCGGUAAAAAUGCGGUGCUCAACGCCGUCGAGCCGUUGAAACUGGCGUUCUUGAGGGGCGAGAAGUAUGCGGAAUGCGUGGUGUAGCGGUGAAAUGCAUAGAUAUCACGCAGAACUCCGAUUGCGAAGGCAGCAUACCGGCGCCCUACUGACGCUGAGGCACGAAAGCGUGGGUAUCGAACAGG